CUUCAGUCAAUUCAAUAUACGUAACUCCACCAGAGCAUUCUUCCACUUUUCAUUAAUUUACUAAAUAAAACAGAGAAAACAUAGAAAACACAAAAAAACAUAGAUGAAAUGUUCAGUUUGUUAAAAUGUAUUUUUCUAUGUACUCUUUAUUCCUCAGGUUAUGUAAAAAUAUGCUUAUAGUAAUGUUUUAUUGUUGUAGAGCUUUCAGUCGGUAACUCCCUGGUGAUAUUAAGAAUGGCAACACAACAUCAAAGGCAGGUUGUUAAUGUAUAUUCAACCAAUCAUGCUAUUUAACAAGAUACUAUAUGUUAUUGCAGGGUAUUCAGUAUAUUAUGCAUUUACAUAAAGAAUGAUUAUUGCUACAUUUUACACGCGAUUACAAAGACAGAGGAGGUUGAAUUUGACCAUCU